AUGAACGCUAGCGGCAGGCUUAACACAUGCAAGUCGAGGGGCAGCAUAAUGGAUAGCAAUAUCUAUGGUGGCGACCGGCGCACGGGUGCGUAACGCGUAUGCAACCUACCUUUAACAGGGGGAUAACACUGAGAAAUUGGUACUAAUACCCCAUAACAUCAUGAAAGGCAUCUUUUAUGGUUGAAAAUUCCGAUGGUUAGAGAUGGGCAUGCGUUGUAUUAGCUAGUUGGUGAGGUAACGGCUCACCAAGGCGACGAUACAUAGGGGGACUGAGAGGUUAACCCCCCACACUGGUACUGAGACACGGACCAGACUCCUACGGGAGGCAGCAGUGAGGAAUAUUGGUCAAUGGACGCAAGUCUGAACCAGCCAUGCCGCGUGCAGGAUGACGGCUCUAUGAGUUGUAAACUGCUUUUGUACUAGGGUAAACUCACCUACGUGUAGGUGACUGAAAGUAUAGUACGAAUAAGGAUCGGCUAACUCCGUGCCAGCAGCCGCGGUAAUACGGAGGAUUCAAGCGUUAUCCGGAUUUAUUGGGUUUAAAGGGUGCGUAGGCGGUUUGAUAAGUUAGAGGUGAAAUUUCGGGGCUCAACCCUGAACGUGCCUCUAAUACUGUUGAGCUAGAGAGUAGUUGCGGUAGGCGGAAUGUAUGGUGUAGCGGUGAAAUGCUUAGAGAUCAUACAGAACACCGAUUGCGAAGGCAGCUUACCAAACUAUAUCUGACGUUGAGGCACGAAAGCGUGGGGAGCAAACAGGAUUAGAUACCCUGGUAGUCCACGCAGUAAACGAUGAUAACUCGUUGUCGGCGAUACACAGUCGGUGACUAAGCGAAAGCGAUAAGUUAUCCACCUGGGGAGUACGUUCGCAAGAAUGAAACUCAAAGGAAUUGACGGGGGCCCGCACAAGCGGAGGAACAUGUGGUUUAAUUCGAUGAUACGCGAGGAACCUUACCCGGGCUUAAAUUGCAGUGGAAUGAUGUGGAAACAUGUCAGUGAGCAAUCACCGCUGUGAAGGUGCUGCAUGGUUGUCGUCAGCUCGUGCCGUGAGGUGUCGGGUUAAGUCCCAUAACGAGCGCAACCCCUACCGUUAGUUGCCAUCAGGUCAAGCUGGGCACUCUGGCGGGACUGCCGGUGUAAGCCGAGAGGAAGGUGGGGAUGACGUCAAAUCAGCACGGCCCUUACGUCCGGGGCUACACACGUGUUACAAUGGUAGGUACAGAGGGCAGCUACCCAGCGAUGGGAUGCGAAUCUCGAAAGCCUAUCUCAGUUCGGAUUGGAGGCUGAAACCCGCCUCCAUGAAGUUGGAUUCGCUAGUAAUCGCGCAUCAGCCAUGGCGCGGUGAAUACGUUCCCGGGCCUUGUACACACCGCCCGUCAAGCCAUGGGAGCCGGGGGUGCCUGAAGUUCGUGACCGGAAGGAGCGACCUAGGGCAAAACUGGUGACUGGGGCU
rnacentral:rRNA from 1 species